CGAUAUUUAUUUUAUAAUAAAUCAAAAAGCAAGACGUGAAAAAAACUAGGGAGUUGAAAUGGCAGCUGCAGCCAAUGAGUGAUCCUUUGCUGCCAUCUCCUGGUUAUAACGGUAAUUUCAUUUUCAUCUUACAAAGUCUUUAUUUUUCGUCCAAGAGACACGUUUUUGGCACAUUUCUUCAUGAAUGAAAAGUGAACCUUUAAUAAAGUGAAUUUUACUGCAGAGUUGAGAAAUAAUAAAGGCUUUAAAAUUGUGUAAGAUUCUAAAAAUGUGUUCAUGGCUAUGAAGGUAAGAUAUUGAUUAUCAAGAACACCAUUACAAUGUUGUUUAAGAGAUUAGCCUAACUGCCUAAACAGUUACCAUAGUGUUUAUUUGUCAGCAUUUAAAUGUACAGUUACCUGUCAGGGUACUUUCCUGGGAUUACCAGACUCUGCAUAUAAAAUUAUAUGCUCUUUAAUACCAUGAAACUGUAUGUUAAUUCCGCUAUCAUUAUUUACGGGGUUGCAGUUAUUUUGUUUCUCAGUUUCUGAUAAGAAUGAGGCAGGAGAGGUUUCUGUGAGAGUCUCUACCUAUAUAUAGCACAUAUAAAAUGAGCUUCACCGGAAGAUUACGAGCUAGCUUAUCUUUAUCCGGAAGUUCUAAAUAGGGCUCCGUGCAUAUGGUCAACUGAUUCCCAUUCCAGUGUUCUGGACAUACACAAGCAAUGUUAUUUGCCACCAACACAAAUUCACCACUAGCAGUCAGAAUCAAGAUACUCGUUCCUGGUUUCUAUCAUUCAUAACAUGCCUUAUGUGAAACUAAUUUCUAGAGUGGGUCGUUUAUACGUGACCAUCAAAACCAUAUUACCGAACUGUCCCACAGAUUGUGUCAGAAUUGGUCUGCAAGCUAGUGGGGUACUGCUAACCAAACAGUUUCACUUUUAACACCGCAUUACUAAACAAAUCAAAUCAAAUAUGCCCCAAGUCGUCUUACAAAUGGUUUAAAUUUCAAUGGAUGAUUUCGAUUUCCAUAAAAUAAAAGCAAAGGGAACACUAAACAGGCCAAAAUCAAGU